AAAUCAAAUGAUGAAUCUGGAUUAUAAUUUUUUCACGACGGUCGACUGAGACACUAAUCAUGGUGUCCAUGCUGAUUCAAUACUCCAGUUAUUCUGAUGGUA